rnacentral:rRNA from 1 species
UACGAAGGGGGCUAGCGUUGCUCGGAAUCACUGGGCGUAAAGCGCACGUAGGCGGCUUUUUAAGUCAGGGGUGAAAUCCUGGAGCUCAACUCCAGAACUGCCUUUGAUACUGGGAAGCUUGAGUCCGGAAGAGGUGAGUGGAACUCCUGGUGUAGCGGUGGAAUGCGCAGAUAUCAGGAGGAACACCGAUGGCGAAGGCAGCUCGCUGGGACGGUACUGACGCUGAGGCGCGAAAGCGUGGGGAGCGAACAGG